rnacentral:rRNA from 1 species
AACGAACGCUGGCGGCAUGCCUAACACAUGCAAGUCGAACGAGACCUUCGGGUCUAGUGGCGCACGGGUGCGUAACGCGUGGGAACCUGCCCUUAGGUUCGGAAUAACUCCCCGAAAGGGGUGCUAAUACCGGAUAAUGUCUUCGGACCAAAGAUUUAUCGCCUUUGGAUGGGCCCGCGUUGCAUUAGAUAGUUGGUAGGGUAAAAGCCUACCAAGGCGACGAUCCAUAACUGGUCUGAGAGGAUGAUCAGCCACACUGGGACUGAGACACGGCCCAGACUCCUACGGGAGGCAGCAGUGGGGAAUAUUGGACAAUGGGCGAAAGCCUGAUCCAGCAAUGCCGCGUGAGUGAUGAAGGCCUGAGGGUUGUAAAGCUCUUUUACCCGGGAUGAUAAUGACAGUACCGGGAGAAUAAGCUACGGCUAACUCCGUG